GCAGCUGCAACCAAAACAUAUUCAUUUACUUCAUUGGUUGUCUCUAUCUUAUCACUUCAUUCAAGUAAACAUAAUGUUUUGCAAUGUCUGAUGGUGAUCUUUCAGCCUGCAGCAGCAGCAACAUUGCUGAUGGUCGGAGCAAUGAAUUGCCCGUUCUGUACGCUUCAAAGAUGAGUCAUAGUUGAAUUGCUGUUGCAGCAGAAACCAAGAUUGCCUAGGAUGCUGGAGCACUUUCAAUUGUAAUUCACCAUGGAACACCUCACAUGCCUGACACAUCCCUUCUCAAGGAAAUCAGGGAGGCAGUCUCCAUUCCUGUAAUGACAAGAAUUCAGGUUGGCCAUUUUCUCGAAGCAUAGAUAUUUGAAGCAUCUGCCGCAGAUUACCUUGACAAGAAAGAACUUCUUAGUAGUGUUGAUACUGAUAACCACAUUAACAAACAUAACUUCAGCCUUCCAUUUUCUUGUGCAUGUCGAAAUUUCUAAGAUGCAAUGAUGAGGGUGAAAGAACGUGCAGACACAUGAUAGAUGCAGGGAGGUCUAUCAAAUUCAAGGUUUGCAACAUCAGGCAGCAUUGCUGAGACCAUUCGGAUUGCGAGGUCUGUGACAAAGAAGACAGAGUUUGAUAAACAUGGAUGAAGAAGAGAUUCUUGCGUUUGCAAAGGAAGCAACAGUGACUUAUGAUCUGAUAGUACAAACCAAGCAAAUGGGAAGGCUUCCUGUUGUACAAUUUGCUGCAGGAGGCAUUAGCACUAUUGCUGAUGCU
rnacentral:lncRNA from 1 species